rnacentral:lncRNA from 12 species
UACAUAAAAAGUUUGAUGUAAGAAGAAAUAAUGAAAAAAACAAAAUUUCAUUGAAAAUAUGUGGACUCUUGUUGUAGAACAAACAUUUUCAUUAACUUUACUUCCCAUAGUUAACAAACCCUAUGCGGAACUUGAAGAAGAAAUAGGUCAGAAAAAGAAGGAAACGAUACGUGAGCCUUGUCCCUUCAACUCAUUUGUUAAGAGAAAAAUCUCUUUGAACAUAAAAAUGUACCGAAUAAUCCAUUCAAAAUGUUUAAUAAGAACAUAUUCUUAAAUUUAUAACAGGAAAUAAAAUUGCUUGAGGAAGUCAAAGAAUUCUAGACUGUGCCCCUUCACACCAACAGAAGAAGCAUCGUCAGCAGCCUGAUGUUUAAAAACUAAAUACUUGAACUGGAGCCAGGGGCUAUGCUCACCAAAUAACCAAUAAAAGACAGUUGUAACUGCUGGGAAAAUAAAUUGCUUAGGGAAGCAUGUGACAAAGGCAAUUAAAAACACUUCUAUUCCAACCAUCAAAAAUCCUGGCCCAGAAAAAUGUGGAAACUGACUUCCUUGACUUUUAGAGAAUGCAGUGGAAGGAGAUUCUGCUAGAAAAGAUUGCAUCUUCCCCUGACAUGGGCAUUAAGAACCUUUCUCUUUUUCCUAGAGACGUAUGUAUGUGAUGCUCUCUUGUGCUCUAAAGCUUGACUCAAAUGUAGCUGCUAGCGAGGCGGAUCUUUGCCUCUUGAGGCGCUCAUGGACUCUGGCCUCUUCUAAUUGCCCGGUGAAGUGCAGCAUCAAGAUCCUUGGGCAUCAGCUAAUGGCUCCUAAGUGCUGGAAGCAGGAGAGCUCGCACAGAAUAAGCAGCAAUCAGAUAUGCCACUCACGUUGAGAUUCAGCUGAUGAUUGGGUAUAAGUGAGUGCCUGCAGUCAAGGAGAGCCUCACUCAACGAAACUACUGCUGUUGUGAAAGUAUUAGGAUUUGCGCUUUCCUAUGACGUCAAAAGGCCACCAAGGUAUGCUGUAGAAGGGGCGGGAGAGUGUAUUUUUUCCCCCUUGUUUUAGUUUUACUAUGGUAUGCUUUUUCAAUUGCAGUGCUGUGUAUUUACACCGUAAGGCUUUACUUUCUCUCUACUUCUUUCCAUGGCAAUUUACAUAUAAAUCGUGGUUUAAGGUGAUCUGCUGGUAGCCCAAUAGCGGAAGCAAAGUGCACUGGUGGAUAUUUUUGACUGAGGAGUGGAGGAAGCCCAGCCUUGGAGUAAAAGCUUAAACUAAGCUCUAUUGUAGUCUGAUGGGUUAUCAUGAGGAGUGAGGACAGAUUAGCCUGGGGUAAGUCAGACCUUGGGCCUAGGAUUUAUCUUUAUAAAAAUAUAUUUGAUAUUUCUGCUAAAAGCCUUUUGAGUCAUUAGAUUCACAGUGCCAUUUGUUUUGCUUUUACUAUAAUUCAUAAGAAGAAUCAUCUGGAGAUGUGACUGACUCCUCACAAGACUCCAAGAAAAACAGAGGCCUCAUGAACUGAAUAUGUUCUUUUGCUGCUAGACUUUCCAGGGUCCUACCAGUUUCAGGAAGUAGAUUGUUAAAAAGUAAUAUGUGUGGUAUGAUCAGUAGGCAUUCUUUUGCAUUUCUCUUUUCUCAGCGAGGAAGAAACUCAAUAAUUUACAGAACAAAGAGAAACGGUG